AAAAAAAGGAUCAGGUAAUGUGUACAAGUUUUUGUUUGAAGACCUGUCUUCAGUUCUUUUGGGUAGGUACCUAGGGGUGGAAUGACUGGGUCAUAUAUAUGCUAAUUCUGUGCUUAACUUUUUGAGGAACUGCCAAACUGUUUUACACAGUGGCUGGACCAUUGUACAUUCUCACCAGCAAUGUACGGGGGUUCCAAUUUCUUCACAUCCAUGCCAAACACUUGUUAUUCGCAGUUUGUUUUCUUUUCUUUUUAUUUUUCUUUUGAGAUGGAGUUUAGCUCUUGUUGUCCGGGCUGGAGUGCAGUGGCACAAUCUUGGCUCACCGCAACCUCUGCCUCCCGGGUUCAAGCGAUUCUCCUGCCUCAGGAUCCUGAGUAGCUGGAAUUAUAGGUGCCUGCCACCAUGCCCGGCUAAUUUUUGUAUUUUUAGUAGAGAUGGGGUUUCACCAUGUUGGCCAUGGUGGUCUCCAACUCCUGACCUCAGGUGAUCCACCUGCCUUGACCUCCCAAAGUGCUGGGAUUACAGGCGUGAACCACUGCGCCCGGCCCAGUUUAUUUUCUUGAUCGUAGCCAUCCUAGUGGCUGUGGAGUGGUGUCCCAUUGUGGUUUUGGUUUGCAUUUCCCUAAGGACUAGUGAUGCUGUGUUUUGACCAUUCUCACAUUCUUUUUUUUUUUUUUGAGACAGGGCUGGAAUGCAGUGGCAUGAUCAUAGCUCACUGCAUCCUUGAACUCCUGGGCUCAGGAGAUUCUCCCACCUCAGUCUCCUGAGUAGCUGGGACUACAGUUGUAUGCCACCGUGCCCACGUAAUUUAUAAAAAAAUUUUAGUAGAGACGGGAUCUUACUAUGUUGCCCAGGCUGGUCUCAAACUCCUGAGCACAAGUGAUCCUCCUGCCUCAGCCUCCUGAGUAGCUGGGAUUACAGAUGCACACCACUAUACCCAGCUAAGUUUUUAUUUUUUUUUUUUUAAAUAGAGAUGGGUUUCAUUAUGUUGCUCAAGCUGGUCUGGAACUCCUGGGUUCAAGCGAUUCUCCUGCCUUGGCCUCCCAAAGUGCUGGGAUUACAGGUGUGAGCCACUGCGCCCAGCCUUAUGCGUUCUUUGGAAGAAACGGCUUUUGGGUAAUGGCCUGCACUGUUGUAUUGUAUCAGCUGCCAUCCAGUCGAAGCUAACUAAGGGCAGGUGGGUGUUGAAUGAGGACAAUGCCCACCUGCCCUUAGUUAGCUGUGACUGCAAGAACAAAGACCCUGUUAUCCCAAUCAUCAUCAUGAGGACUAGCUGGGCCGCAGCUUAAAGGGACAUUUCAUAGCUUAAAAAAGACAAACUGUUGGUCCUGCCACCUCCAACUACAAAGGUGUUGCAACUGAUAAGCCUUUUGGGAUCUUGAGGACGCCACAUCUCACGUGUGGAAAUUUCACUAACGUGGCUGCAGCAAGUGACCAGACAGAUGGCCGCAUUUGAGUGGGAGCCUCUUUAGCAAGAGCUUUUUAAAAUCAAGCUCCACCCAGGAGCUCUUUAUCUUCUUCAGAACCCACGGGAUUACAGACAUCUGCACCAGCCCCCGUGGGACCUUGGAGUCCAGGAGAAUGAAUACCAAGGCAUUGAUGCUCAUGCUCCCUGCUGGCUGGACCCAGGGAUGGAGCAGUGUCCUCACUCAUUGCACUCACCCUACCCAGGAUCUAUUUUUAGAGAAAAUCCCUUAAUCAGAAAGGAAGACUAAGAGAAAAAGGAAGAAAAGAUCUACAAAACAACUAGGAAAAAGUAACAAAAUGGCAGUAGUAAGCCCUUACCUAUCAAUAAUUACCAUGAAUGUAAAUGGAUUAAAUUCUCCAGUUAAAAGACAGACUGGCUGAACGGAUUAAAAAACAUGACCUAACUAAAGUUGGCCAUUGAACAAUAUGAGUUUGAGCUGCAGGAGUCCAAUGUCAUGCAGAUUUUCUUCCACCUCUGCCACUCCGAGUCAGCAAGACCAGCCCUUCCUCCUCCUCUCCCUCAGACUCCUCGAUGUGAAGACCACGAGGAUGAAGGCCUUUGUGUGAUGAUCACUUCCACUUGAUAAACAUUAAAUAUAUUUUAUCUUCCUUAUGAUUUUCUUGAUAACAUUUUUUCUCUAGGUUGCUUUAUUGGAAAAUAUAGUGUAUAAUAGAUUCAACAUAUAAAAUA
rnacentral:lncRNA from 10 species